UAGUGGCGGACGGGUGAGUAACGCGUGAGAAUCUAGCUUCAGGUCGGGGACAACCACUGGAAACGGUGGCUAAUACCGGAUAUGCCGAGAGGUGAAAGGCUUGCUGCCUGAAGAUGAGCUCGCGUCUGAUUAGCUAGUAGGUGNUGGUAAAAGCGCACCUAGGCGACGAUCAGUAGCUGGUCUGAGAGGAUGAUCAGCCACACUGGGACUGAGACACGGCCCAGACUCCUACGGGAGGCAGCAGUGGGGAAUUUUCCGCAAUGGGCGAAAGCCUGACGGAGCAAUACCGCGUGAGGGAGGAAGGCUCUUGGGUUGUAAACCUCUUUUCUCAGGGAAGAAAAAAAUGACGGUACCUGAGGAAUAAGCAUCGGCUAACUCCGUGCCAGCAGCCGCGGUAAUACGGAGGAUGCAAGCGUUAUCCGGAAUGAUUGGGCGUAAAGGGUCCGCAGGUGGCUAUGUAAGUCUGCUGUUAAAGAACCUAGCUUAACUAGGUAAAAGCAGUGGAAACUACAAGGCUAGAGUGCGUUCGGGGUAGAGGGAAUUCCUGGUGUAGCGGUGAAAUGCGUAGAUAUCAGGAAGAACACCAGUGGCGAAGGCGCUCUACUAGGCCGCAACUGACACUGAGGGACGAAAGCUAGGGGAGCGAAUGGGAUUAGAUACCCCAGUAGUCCUAGCCGUAAACGAUGGAUACUAGGCGUGGCUUGUAUCGACCCAAGCCGUGCCGGAGCUAACGCGUUAAGUAUCCCGCCUGGGGAGUACGCACGCAAGUGUGAAACUCAAAGGAAUUGACGGGGGCCCGCACAAGCGGUGGAGUAUGUGGUUUAAUUCGAUGCAACGCGAAAG
rnacentral:rRNA from 1 species